UCCUGGUUCAACCUUGCUCCAUUUGGGCAUCUACCUUUAGGUCUUCUUUGGUCGGGGAACAACACUUAUCUAGCCGAAGUCAAUGUGCAAUUAGGGACUGAAACUAGUUUGUUUUUAAGAUAUUUGGCAUUUGCUUAUAAGCUCAAAAUUUGUAAAUCCAUAUUAGCACUCUUUUAUCUCCAUGGUCAUUGGUAAGAUAGGUAGGAAACUAUGGGGAGG